rnacentral:rRNA from 1 species
GAGCUGGCGGCAGGCUUACACAUGCAAGUCGAACGCCCCCGCAAGGGGGAGUGGCAGACGGGUGAGUAACACGUGGGAACAUACCCUUCGGUUCGGAACAACGUCUGGAAACGGACGCUAAUACCGGAUACGGCCUUUUGGGCGAAAGAUUGAUCGCCGAAGGAUUGGCCCGCGUUCGAUUAGCUGGAUGGCGGGGUAACGGCCCACCAUGGCGACGAUCGAUAGCUGGUCUGAGAGGAUGGCCAGCCACAUUGGGACUGAGACACGGCCCAAACUCCUACGGGAGGCAGCAGUGGGGAAUAUUGGACAAUGGGCGCAAGCCUGAUCCAGCCAUGCCGCGUGAGUGAUGACGGCCUUAGGGUUGUAAAGCUCUUUCGCACGCGACGAUAAUGACGGUAGCGUGAGAAGAAGCCCCGGCUAACUUCGUGCCAGCAGCCGCGGUAAUACGAAGGGGGCUAGCGUUGUUCGGAAUCACUGGGCGUAAAGGGUGCGUAGGCGGGCAUUUCAGUCAGGGGUGAAAUCCCGAGGCUCAACCUCGGAACUGCCCUUGAUACUUGGGUGUCUUGAGUCCGGA